AAGUCGCUGUGGAAUUUAUUCCUCUGGUUCUUAGCAAGUCCCCCACUGGCAAUGCUCCUCUCAUUCGUUUCCAGAGGAAAACUUGAUUUUCGGAAGCCAAGCAUAGGAGUCUUCUGCCCCCAUGGAGCUGAUUUUAAUCUGUAGGAUUUCCUCUUCCAAUUCAGGUAAGUUUAGUAGAAUUUUCUCCCUGUCCCAGUCUCGUGAUGCAGGGGAAAUGAGUUGAUCAACCGUAUGUAAGUGACUCGUUUCAGGAGGAGGGCCCAUAGGUUGUUUGGGUGUGUUGAUUGAGAGCCAGGGAUCGUUCCAGAUGCUUGUUGUUCUCCUGUUACCUAUCACUUUUCCCAUCUUGGUCUUUAGGAGAUCCCUCCCUAUGCAGAUACCACGCCACCCAUGGGACGUGGAGGAGGGGACUUUGCUUUCCAUAAAUGGAGUCGAGUGACAAUAUUUGCCUAACAGAGUUUUUGCCAGGAGGCAAUCCGGUUUUCUUAGGAUUCUCCAGCUUAGCUUUGCUCUUUAUCUAAGGAUAGAAUAUGGUACUAUUACCACAUAGUGCUCUUAAUCGCUUCUUUGAUAGUUUGUGGGGACCUUCGUGGUUUGAUUUAAUGUUGUGAGUUUUGGUUCAUUGGUUUUGAAGGAAACACAUCAGUGCACGGGUGGAUUUACAUGGGAAUUGGGUAGGGCACGUGUCGUACCCAUGCUACUAAUUAUAUAAACUAACUCUCUAAUAGUAAUAUAGUACUAUUGUUCAGUUUGUUCUUAUAUUGGGUGAGGAGUUCAAUACUGGUCCAAGAUUCAAGAUCCAAGUGCCUGAUGGUGUUAAUCACACCGAUCUUAUAAGCCCAGCAAUUGAGAGUGAGAGAGGAACAAUUGCUCGGUGGAGAUAUAUAGGACCAGCGAUGGCGAUGAACUUGCUCUUCUUUAAUUAUCUCUUUCUCCGAUCCACUAAUACCAUAUAUUUCUUUUAUAUAUGGCCGUGAAUGCUCCCACGGAACUCGAAGCCAUUAGUUAUUCAAAAAUAUUUCAUGUGAGCCGGCGCACAGAAUUACUGGGCCACAAGUUCAGACAUUUUUUUGGGCUGUUGUAAAUUAUUUGAAGGGGAAAAAUGAGAAAAAAU